GGAUGUGAGGGUGAUCUGGCUGCAACACCUGUCACCAUACUGAUCACCAGGGAUGAUGUGGUUGAUCUGUCUGACUAGGUAGGUGACCUCCCUGUCUCUUCACUCCCUGUGUGUCCCUCCCAACGCUGCACACUUGGUCCGCCCUCCCAGAUGGAGGAGGACCAUUCUUGGGUCGAGGGUAUACAAAACGCGUGCUCCCCUGCUAGAACCUGCACACAAGCUCUCAAGGUCCGGUUGUAGAAAAACGAAGGGUAGCCAAGCUUCCAGGACUCCAGACACAUCCUAAUGAGUCUACAUGUGGCAGUCUGCCUUUGUUU
ensembl:misc_RNA 7SK 7SK RNA